rnacentral:rRNA from 1 species
UACCCGCAGCACAAGUGGUGGUCAUUAUUAUUGGGCCUAAAGCGUCCGUAGCUGGCUUGUUAGAUGCCUGGGUAAAUCGAAGCGCUCAACGUUUCGAACUCCGGGUAGACCGGCAAGCUUGGGACCGGGAGAGAUGUGAGCUACUCGAGGGGUAGGGGUAAAAUCCUGUAAUCCUUCGGGGAGGACCAGUGGCGAAGGCGUCACAUUAGAACGGCUCCGACAGUGAGGGACGAAGCCCUGGGGCGCAAACCGG